UACGGGGGGGGCAAGCGUUGUUCGGAAUUACUGGGCGUAAAGGGCUCGUAGGUGGCCAACUAAGUCAGACGUGAAAUCCCUCGGUUUAACCGGGGAACUGCGUCUGAUACUGGAUGGCUUGAGUUCGGGAGAGGGAUGCGGAAUUCCAGGUGUAGCGGUGAAAUGCGUAGAUAUCUGGAGGAACACCGGUGGCGAAGGCGGCAUCCUGGACCGACACUGACGCUAAGGAGCGAAAGCCAGGGGAGCAAACGGG
rnacentral:rRNA from 1 species